rnacentral:rRNA from 1 species
GUAGGGAAUAUUGGACAAUGGGGGGAACCCUGAUCCAGCCAUGCCGCGUGGAGGAAGACUGCCCUCUGGGUUGUAAACUCCUUUUAUAUGGGAAGAACCGUCCUCAUUAAUGAGUGACCUGACGGUACCAUAGGAAUAAGCACCGGCUAACUCCGUGCCAGCAGCCGCGGUAAUACGGAGGGUGCAAGCGUUAUCCGGAUUCACUGGGUUUAAAGGGUGCGUAGGCGGAUAAAUAAGUCAGUGGUGAAAUCAACGGGCUCAACCUGUUAACUGCCAUUGGUACUGUGUAUCUUGAAUAUGAGAGAGGUAGGCGGAAUGUUGCAUGUAGCGGUGAAAUGCUUAGAUAUGCUACGGAACACCGAUUGCGAGGGCAGCUUACUAUUUCGUAAUUGGCGCUGAGGCACGAAAGCGUGGGUAGCGAACAGGAUUAGAAACCCCAGUAGUCC